UCCUGGAAGAAACGCUUUGAUUACCGGCUGGGUUCCUGAGGAUCAAUGUGCCAGAUACCAAACUUCUGCAUUCCCUCUGUUGGAAUACAAACGAAGUCAACUGGGGGUAGCUUUCAGCACAGCUUUGCCUACGACCAGGCUGAAUGCAAGUGCUCCCAUUUUGACAGAGGAGGUAACACAUACAUUCAAGAAUUCAUGGAGUGCCUUCUGGAGAAAGCAUGAUAGAUUUUUUUUUUUUUGAAUUAUGGAAGAAAAUAAAAACCAAUACCAGAGAAAAUAAGCUCCAGUUUUUCCAAAAUGUACUUAGAAAAUGGACUUUAACUCUGCAUUUAUAUUCCAUCAAGAAGUCAUUGUAACAGAGGGUGGAGAUUGAAACAGGCCACGGCAGAGGGUGCUUCUGGAGUGUAUGGGGAGGCUGCUCUUCAGAGGGGUGCUGUGGCCCCGGCCGCAGCUCUGCCCCGCUGGCCUUGGAUGGGGAGAUUUGCACUGUUAGGGGAAUCUCCCAACAGCAGAGGCAGCCAGGCUUCCUCCAGGCCUGCCUCGCUGCCGCUUCUGGAUCUAGGAAAGAUCAUAUCACACCCUUGCCAGAGACUGCGGCAGGAUGUCACAUAGGCUCCCAAGUGACAGAGUGACAGAGACCUUAUCUGCACCGUGAAGCAGCAACCUUUGUUCCAAGCCCGCGGCUUGCCCUCCUGCCUCCUGACUCAGCACUGCCACCCUCUGGGACUCUCAGGCAGAGUGGACAGUGAGAGAGAGAGAGACGGAAAGAAAGGUCUUCCUUUUUGCCGUUGGUUCACCCUCCAAUGGCCGCCGCACCGCACUGAUCCGAUGGCUUGAACCUAUCUAAGGGGCUAUGUCUAAAAUAGUAUCAUUUUAAUGAUUUUUUUUUUUUUGGCUAAAGAAUCUUUCAUCUUCCUCAAAUACUAUGUGACUAUGAUUGUGCAGACAUUGUGAGGGUGGGGUCAGAUUACCAGUGCUGUGGUGUUUUUUUUUUUUUUUUUAAAGAUUUUAUUUAUUUGAAAAGCAGAGUUAUGGGGGGAGAAAGAGAGAGAUCUUCCAUGUGUUGGUUCAUUCCCCAGAUGGCCUCAACGGCCAGGGCUGGGCCAAACUGAAGCCUCCAGGAGCCUGGAGCUUCAUCUGGGUGUCCCAUGUGGGUUCAGGUGCCCAAGCAGUUGGGCCAUCUUCUGUUGCUUUCCCAGGUGCAUUAGCAGGGAGCUGGAUUGGAAGUGGAACAGCCAGGAUUCAAACUGGCACCCAUAUGGGAUGCUGGCAUCACAGGUGGUGACUUUUAUCUGCUAUACCACAACACCGGUCCCAACCAGUGCUGUGAUUUUAAGCAGUAUUUUAAAAGUAUACCAAGAAAAGAAUAGGAUACAUGUACAUCUAUGGACAGCAGAGGCUGGCAACAGUCUGCAGAUCAAAUCCAGUUGACUGCCUGUUUUUGUAUGGCUUGCAAGACUGGCUUUUCCAUUUUCAAAUGGCUGGAAAAGAAACAUUUCAGGACAUGGGGACAUUGCAUUAAAUUCAACUUUUGGGGGCAGGCAUUGUGAUGCCAUGGAUUAAGUUGCCACUUGGAAUGCCCACAUUCCAAAUUAUCCUGAGAGUGUGGAAUCAAGUUCUGCCUCCACUUCGGAUCCAGCAUCCUGUUGACGGGUCUAGGAGGCAGCAGAUGAUGACCCUAGUACUCAAGUCCCUGUGCCACCCACUGGGAGGCCUGGAUGAAAUUUCUGGCUCCUGGCUUUGGCCUGACCAAGUUCCAGCUGUGAUGGCCAUUUGGGGAGUACCCCAGCUAAUGUAAGAUUGCUUUCUUGUGUUAAAAGAUUUAUUUAUUUAUUUGAAAGUCAGAGUUACAGAGAGGCUCAGGCAGAGAAAGAGAGAGAGGUCUUCCAUCCACUGUUUCACUCCUCAAAUGGCCACAAUGGCUGGAGCUGGGCUGAUCCAAAGCCAAGAGCUUCUUCCAGGUCUCCCACGUGGGUGCAGGGCCCAAGGACUUGGGACAUCUUCUACUGCUUUCCCAGGCACAUUAGCAAAGAGCUGGAUCAGAAGUGGAACAGCUGGGACUUGAACUGGCACCAUAUGAGAUGCUAGUACUGCAGGUGGCAGCUUUACCCACUAUGCCACAGCGCAGGCCCCUGUAAGAUCUCUUUCUAUCUCUCCCCCUCUCUCUCUGUCGCUCUGCCUUUCAAAUAAAUAAAUAAACAAAUGUUUUGUGUUUUUUUUUUUUUUUAAAAGGCACAGGGACCAGCGUUGUGUCUGCGGUGGGUUAAGCCACUGCCUGGAAUGCCAGCAUCUUGUAAGAGUGGUGGUUUGAGUCCUUACUGCUCCACUUCCCAUCCAGCUCCCUGCUGAUGCACCUGGGAAGGCAGUGGAAGAUGUCUCAUGUUGGAGUAGCUGGGUUCAAUUCCUGUCUCUGCCUCCUGACUCCAGCUUCCUGCUAAUGUAGACCCUGGGAUGUGGCUGUGAUGGCUCCACUAGUUGGGUCCCUGUAGCCCACAUGGGAGACCUGGAUUGAGUUCCAGCUCAUGGCCCUGGCCCAAUCCAAGCUAUUGUGGGAAUUUGGAGGAAUGAACCAGUAAAUGGGCACUCUCUUGGUUUCUGUCUCUGAAAAAAAAAAAGUCCAGUGCUGAUAGAGAAAUUGUACAGCCACGAGGAACCCAAGCUGUUUUCAUCCUCCGUUCUAUACACCUUACAGUCUAAUUUCCAGUCUCAGGCAUUUGCUGGCUGUGGGAGCUUCAGCUGUGCUAUAUCUCUUGUUGCUGGCAGGAGGAAAAUUUUGGUUUCCUCAAGAGUCCUCCGGAUGACUUCUCUUUGUCUCUCAUCGACCUUCCCUGGCCUGGGAUGUAUAGUGUUUAGGAUGAGCCUAAAUCCCUAUGAGGAAGUCAACAUGAGACUACAUACAAAUCACAAAACUUUUUGGAAGUUUAUCAUAUGCAAAUGGAAUACAUUUUUUGGCCUUUUUAUACGUGUUUAUAUGUAAUUUCACAUACUUGUUAUAAGCAGUCAGAAUUGACUGAGUUAAUCCUGAGGAUUAAAUUUGGGGAAAAUUAGAUGUUGCAUUUAGAAGCAUCAUUCAAUCUACACUGUGAGAAAAAAUGUUAGGACACUUGGUGGACACAGGACUGGGCAUUUAGCCUACCGGAUGCCUGCAUACACAUGGGAGUUGGUUUGAUUCCCAGUUCUGAUUCUUGAUUCUAGCUUCCUGCCCAUGCAGACCCAGAUAGAUAGCAAUGAUAGCUGAAGAAACUGGGUUCCUGUCACUCAUAUAGGGGCUUGGAUUACAUUCCCAGAUCUCAGCUUGGGCUUCAGCCCCAACUGUCGCAGAUAUUUGGUGAAUGAGCCAGCAGAUGGGAGCUCUGUCUCUCAAAUCAAUUUUUUUUUUUAAAUUAAAAACAAAAGUCAUUGUUUCUCAUAGUGUCCAUUUCACUUCAUCAGGUUUCCUUUUAGGUGCUUGGUUAGUUGUCACCGAUCAGGUAGAACACAUGAUAUUUGUCCCUUUGGGACUGGCUUAAUUCACUCAGCAUGAUGUUUUCCAGAUUCCUGUCAUUUGUUGCAAAUUACAGGAUUUCAUUUUUUUUUUUUUACUGCAGUAUAGUAUUCUAUAGAGUACAUAUCCCAUAAUUUCUUUAUCCAGAAAUUAUGUUGAUGGGCAUUUAGGUUGAUUCCAUGUCUUAGAUAUUGUGAACUGAGCUGAAUAAAUGAGCACCCAAAAGGAAACCUGUUGAAGUGAAAUGGACACUAUGAGAAACAGUGACUUGAUCAGCCCUUGUCCUGACUGUCGAGGAACAACUUACUACUUUAUUCCUUUUAGUAUUUUUUGUUCUACUUAAUACUAUUGGUUGAACUCUUUAAUUACCACACAAUUAUUCUUAGAUGUUUAAAUUUAACUGAAAAGUGAUCCCUGUUAAAUAUGAGUGGGAAUAAGAGAGGGAGGAGAUGUACAGUUCGGCACAUGCUCAAUCGGACUUGCCCUGAAUGGUAGAGUUAGAAACGUGCCAGGGGAUUCCAAUUCAAUCCCAUCAAGGUGGCAUGUACCAAUGCCAUCUCACUAGUCAAAGUGAUCAGUUUCAGUUCAUAAUUGAUCAUAAUGAUAGGAUUAAGAGUCAAAGGGAUCACAUAAACAAGACUAGUGUCUGCUAAUACUAACUGAUAGAAUUAAAAUGGAGAGAAUGAUCCAGCAUGGGAAGUGGGAUACACAGCAGAUUCAUAGAAGGGCAGAUGUCCUAAACAGCACUCUGGCCUCAGAAUCAGCCCUUAAGGCAUUCGGAUCUGGCUAAAAAGCCCAUGAGAGUAUUUCAGGCAUGGAAAGCCAAGACACUCUGUUUAAAAAAAACAAAACAAAACAAAACAAAACAAAACAAAUAUAUAUAUAUAUAUAUAUAUAUAAAUGAACGAUCUCUGUGAGUGAGAUCCCAGUGGAAAGAAUGGGCCAUCAAAGAAGGAGGUACCUUUCUCUGAAGGGAGGAGAGAACUUCCACUUUGACUAUGACCUUGUCUAAAUAAGAUUGGAGUUGGCAAACUCAAAAUGCUUCCAUAGCCUUGGCAACUCACGACAAGAGCCUUGGGUGAUUACUGACACCAUAAAUAAGAGUGUCAAUUGUUAAGUCAACUACAAGAGUCACUGUGCACUUACUCCCUAUGUAGGACCUCUGUCCUUAAUGUGUUGUACUAUGUGAAUUAAUGGUAUAACUAGUACUCAAACAGUACUUUGUGUUUCUGUGUGGGUGCAAACUGUUGAAAUCUUUACUUAGUAUAUACUAAACUGAUCUUCUGUAUAUAGAGAUAAUUGAAAAUGAAUCUUGAUGUGAAUGGAAUGGGAGAGGGAGUGGGAGAUGGGAGGAUUGUGGGUGGGAGGGAAUUUAUUAGAGGGGGGGAGCCAAUGUAAUCCAAAAGUUGUACUUUGGAAAUUUAUAUUUAUUAAAUAAAAGUUUAAAAAAUCA